rnacentral:rRNA from 1 species
GACGUAGGAGGCGAGCGUUAUCCGGAUUUACUGGGCGUAAAGCGCAUGUAGGCGGUUCGCUAAGUCCGCUGUUAAAGCCCCCGGCUCAACUGGGGGAGGUCAGUGGAGACUAUCGGACUUGAGGGCAACAGAGGCACGUGGAACUCCCGGUGUAGCGGUGGAAUGCGUAGAGAUCGGGAAGAACACCAGUGGCGAAGGCGACGUGCUGGGUUGCACCUGACGCUGAGAUGCGAAAGUGUGGGGAGCAAAC